UGGUGGAGCGAUUUGUCUGGUUAAUUCCGAUAACGAACGAGACUCUGGCCUAUUAAAUAGUUCGCCGAUUCCGACCUGUCAGCGUUAACUUCUUAGAGGGACAAGUGGCUUUUAGCCACGCGAGAUUGAGCAAUAACA
rnacentral:rRNA from 1 species